UUCUUUACUCCCCUUUCUCAUUUCUGUUUUGCCUUAUUCAGCUGAACGAGUGAGGGAGUCAAACAGACAAGGAGAGUUUGCAGUUCAAGACUGAAAAAGAGCCAAUUUUUUUCAAUUUUUUUUUCAGGCUGGGAUUUUGGGUGCCUUACAAACAGAUGUUGCUUGUCAUUUGCUCAUAGUGCAGGGAAAUCAGCUUGUAGAAUGCAGAGGUUUUACAGACUGAAAGAUUACCUCUCACUUAUUUGUAGUUAUUACCACUAGUAGUGCGCGGUACACUGAAAAUAUAAAAACACCAAAAAAACUAGUCUAUUUCAUCUGUUAUCUCCUCCUCCUCUUUCCCCCCACUUCUCGUCCUCUUCCCUUUGUUUUUUUUUUCUUUUGUGUCAUUCUUUCCCAUCCUAGCUGCUUUUUGGGGUGAUUUUUGCACUGUGGUUGCAUGUUUGAGCUGUAUUUUUUGAUGGGCCACAGUGGAUAUGACUGCUUGUACCUUCUGCCAAGCAACACAGGCCCUGCAGAACAGAGGAAGAAUCAUUUGGAAACUGAACAUGAAGGCAAAUCGGCAGCAAGCUAGAAGAACGAGUGAUGGACAUCCUGGAUCCAAAGGGGAGGGUGAGUCGGUACCAACAAAUACUCUUCUUCUCCACUCCCCUCUAAGCUCCCCAUCUGUUUCUUAAGCUUCAGACCACCAUGGUAGCAUGAAGGAGCCAGAGAGCUUUGUUAUCUGGCUCGCCUUUUUCUCUGUGCAGCCGCUCUGGAGGACUCAGAAAAAAUGCUGAAUGGAGAUCUGCACUAGUAAUGAUCACGCAGGCACUGAAUGAUUUUAACAGUGCAAGACGUGACAGUGAGAUGAGCAUACAAGUCAUCAUGUCAGAUGGAUGGUUUGAUGCUGUGCGGUCCUAGCCUCAGAUUUCAAUGGUAAUCAACACAUCCACACAGGGUUUUUGUCUUGUAUGUCUAUAGUAAUAAUUAGAAAUCAUCUGCUGAUUUUGAUUUUCCCUGAGACGGCGAGAGAUCUUUGGGCAUAGUGUACAGCAGCAGGCUCUGUACCUGAUAGCAGGAGGUAUUUUUCAAAGUGCUGUAUUGUUCAGCUGAGAUGGGGGAUGGGGCAAGGGAGAAAUAGGGAGACAGAGAGAGAGAGAGAGAGAGUUAGGGGGGCUUGCCAAUGUUGUGUCUGGCUGAGGCUUGCACUUGUAUGUUCACAAAUAUAGAUGGGGUAGUAGAGGUUGCAAUGAGUGCGCUCAAUUAAUCUAUGUAAUUUCAGAGUGUAUGUUUGAUGUGGAGCUGCAUGUCUGUCACAGGCAGGGUUUGCUCUGUAUGCUCUGUAUCCUCAGACGCUCUGAGUCCUCAUUUGACUUACAGACAAGUUGAGUACAUGGACGCUUUCUUGUUAAGGAACAUUUAAGAUUUCUUUUAAUGCCUAAGCAGAAAACAAAGGAGUCAGCAUCCGGAGAGGGCUGAAUUCAGUUGUUUGAGGUAGAGGAUGUGUCUCUCUCCGUCCCUGAGACCCUAACUUGUGACGUUGUGCUUUCAUGUCCACGGGUUAGGCUCUUGGGAGCUGGGAGGGAUGCAUGGCCAGCACUAUCUGCCGUGCGUCUGUGAUUCGAACAAUGGCGAUCAGAGGAGGUAGGCCAUGGCGCAGUGAGGCGUUCACCUCGCACUCACUGUAUUCAGUGUGGCUCAAACCCUGCUGAUGUUGCAUGUCACCUGUUCUUUUCUUGUAUCCCUCGCUGCAUCAUUCAUAUGAUGGAAUGUUGAUUACAUAGAUACUCUGAGGUUAGGAGAAUGGGGAAGUAGUGGCAUGUAUACUGUUUUAAGGAUCAUGUGACAAAGUUAAGGCAGGAUGCGCUGAAGUGUCUCAAUGGAUAACAGGAAGCUAUCAUGUUUUAGCAUAUCUAUACUAAUUCUUUGUGCCUGGUAGUUACCAUCAAUUAUCAGCCAGUCAUUGUUGUCCAGCUUUAACAUGAUGCCUCCUGUUUGGUCAUGUAUUCUGGUCUAAUCCUAAUAUAGCACUUUGAUCCAAUUUGACACAUGAAUGUCUUUUAUUCUGCUUUUCAAACAACACAUGGCCUAAAUACUGUUUCAAAUUACUUCCCACCUCAGAGUAAUAACAUUUUCUACUCAAUAAUUGCCACAUCUAAGCAUCUAGCAGUAGCACAACAACAACAAAACGGCUUCAAGUGGAAUGCUAACUGGAUACUAAUACUUGUUAGCUAGUAAGGAAACAGCUGGUUAGAAUCAGUAGCCCACCAGAGAUAAUGUUAAUGCUGAGAUGAUAGAAUUGACCUCUUCAUGCACCGAUGAACACUGUUCAGUAAAGAAGCAUCAAUUUGUGUGAUAGCUCUUUGCUUCUGCAACAGGCCUAGCAGUGUGUGUGUACCUUUAUGACUUGAGAGCAGCACAGAGUAAUGUUGAGCGUGAUGAUAACAGCGCUGUACAUUAUGUGCUUGACCUCAGUGAACCCUCAUCGAUGUUAGUUAGUUCACUCACUCAUGCUAACACAAAUAUAAAGGUGGUAGUAAGAACAUACUCACUGGGCAGCAACUGAUAAUGAGAAUAACCUAUAUUGUCUUUUGUCACUAGUUUACAUGGCUGCUGUCCAUGAUUCAUAUUUAAAGUGCUUUUAGAAGUGUUGAUUUGAUCCUGGUGUCUAGCUGUAACCAGGGUGACAGCACACUUUGUCAUCAGUAGUAAGGAUCCGACUCGCUGACUUUGCAACUAUGACCAGUGAAAUUGUUAUUCAAAGACGCACAUCAUGGCUCUUCGGGGCACCCUUCCAUGUUUGUUUGAGCCUUGAUGUUCUUUUUCUUCUGACUGGUUGCUGAAGGGCUAAUUUACCAUGCCAUCAUCCCCUGCACCUUGCAGUUUGUUCCCAGAAGGCCAUCACUCUCCUGAGACCCAUUUGCAGUAUAUUUUUUAAUGGUGGUAACUCUUUCACAGCAUGAUUCAUUGAUUUUUGACCUAGUAACUAAUAUAUGGUAUUAAUAGGGCAUAACAUGAUGAAAAUUCAUAUCUGUGGAUACUUCCCUUUAUUAUCCCUAUAUUUAAGUGGAUAACUCCAUGCACUUGCAGAUCUAAAAUGAUGCUGACAUUGUCAUGUCAGUGGUCGUGGAUCAACUGCAACAACCAACUGCAUGGCCUUUCAGCUAGUUUGAAAUUUGUCACAGAAUUUCCUAUGUUAGAUAUUAAACUAUACUGUAAUUUGUAGGCCUUAUUUGCUUGAAUUCAGAGAUUACAUUUCUUCAUGUAAAUUCAACAGAGACCACAGCUGAUGGCUCAAGUCACUGUGUUUCAUUUAUUUUGAUAAAUACAUCAUCAGUAUGACAGUUUGCUUUUAAUUCUGACCUUCAAAAGCAUAUUUAAAAUUUUCCCCCCUUCGGUAUAAUUUAUUCAACUGACAAUAGCGGGAAAUGUGUUUAUGUUCAAACUUUAUUCUGUCCUGAGCUAUUACCUCUGAUGGUUUGGAUUCCCUGAGAUGCUUCUAUUCUGUUGUUAAUGAACUAAUUUCCUUCUGCACUGGUAAGCUACUGCUUUCACAAUUCUCUUAUGCAAUACCUCUGUGAGCCCCAUCUCUCUCUUUUUCUACCAUCUCUCUGCCUCAAAAUCGCUUUUUAUUUGUUCAGCUCGGUGAACAAAUAUUAACCUGGAGCGAGUCACUGUCUAGCCAGUAAGCUCGAAAACGGCUGCAGGCUUGCUCUCCAUUGUUUGGCUGCUCUGUAUACUGUCUGUACACUGUGUCCCCAUGGCUGAGGCAGACAUGGAGGUUAGACAGACAGACGGAGAGAGACUGGUGUUAAUUGGAUUUUUUUUUUAUUUUUUUUUUAUGGACCUAUCACUGUUGUCUUGACAUAAUACAGAUGAUAUAAUGGCAUCAAGAAAGCCUGUGUGCAUGAUUCUGAUCUAAUAUUUCAUACAGAUUUAACACAGAUGAAAAUGUCAGUAUUGUUCUUUGCUUCAGUGGUGCAGCUUUUACCCAGCUACUUCAAGUGUGUCAGUCAGUAAAAAAUAAUCAUACCUGCUCAUUUAUCAAUAGAUUUACAAACUUUGAGCUUAAGUCUAUUUCUUAGCUUUUGUGGCUCAAAAUAUUGGCUGUUUCUGAAGCAGCUGUUGAGGGGUCUAAUCCCUUUUGAGAUGAACCUUUGUUAAGGUGGACUGUCGAAGGUGCUGUGUACACCCAAUGGAUGACAACAACAACAAUAUCAACAGGACAGUUCAGGUUUAUGUGUGGAUAGUACAGUGUUUAAGGUGGACUGCUGCAGGGUAACACCCCACAUCAAGAAAUGUUCGAGGAAUAAGCCUAUUAUGCUAAAAAAAAAAAAAAAAAAAAGGAAAAUUAUUGAUCAGACAGCAGGGUUGAUUUCUUUCUGUGCUGAGUUUACAGUAACCAUUCUGCAGUUUUUUCUGCCACUCCCUUCAACCCACAGCCUGCUAUCAGCUGCAGGCAGGAGAAACAUACAUCAGUAAUCAGAGCUGGUCAGUGUAUGUGCGUAUGCUUCCUACAGCACCACCUGGGUCCUCCUAUACUGGCUAAUGUCCUCUACCUAUGGCAGUAGGUAUGGUAAUAGUUGAAUAGUACCUGUGGCCUAUUUACAUAGCUAAAAUUGCUGAGGCACUUCUCAGUCCUGUAGCUUGGCCGACUUUAAGAGAUUUAGGAUUUGGGGCAGAUCCAGUACUUUCAUCAUUUUUCUUGUUGAUUUUUUCUCUGAGUCUGCAUAUCAGCUGCCAAACUGUACGCUGUUUCGUCUGCAAUCUGAAAGGUUCUAAAUGUGCUGAUGGGGCAGCCGAGUAUGUUUUCAAUAAGAUUUUCUGCAUCUGUGUACGAGUGUGUGUGUGUGUGUGUGUGUGUAUUGUGUUUGUCCUUCCUGACUCUGGCUAAGGCCAGUUUAAAGGAGUUUAGGGAUAGUGCGCAACCACACCUCACCAGCAGAUUAAUCAGACUACACACUAACCUCAUUAAUCUGAGAGAAACUAAUGUUACCAACAAUGUGCAGUCACACACACACACACACACACACACACACACACACACACACAAUAAAAACUGUUCCUCUUGUCUUUACCAAAUAAAAAAGAACUUAAUCAUGUUGGCAGCUGUUUAUCUGCACAGAUAUUUGACUUUUGGGUUUCAAGUGGGUUUCUUUUUGUUUUUAAGCUGAGUUGACAAGCUUUUAAAAGACUUUGACUGUAUCUGAGUUCUUUAAGAAGAAUCUUUUUGACAUUGUGGCAAUGACUUUUUAAAAAAUGUUUUAAUUUUUAGUAAAGGUAGUAGUUGAUCCACAGAAAAUUGAUUUGCAACUAUUUUGAUAGUCAUUUAAUCCUUUCAGUCAUCUUAUCAAGCAAAAAAAAAAAAAACAAAACAUUUGUUGCUUCUAGGGAGAUGUUUAUAGGGAUAUGUUUGGAUUCUGUGCAGUUAUACGACAAUUUUUCAAAUAGUCUUUAUAAUUGGGAACACUUUGGGAACACUUUGUUGCUUCAUCAAGUAUUCAGUUAUUCAGUUGACAGAAACAUUAACACCAACUAUUCUUUUUAAAUUGAUCAGUCUUUUCAGUCAUUUUAUCUGUUUUUAGCUUCCCCAAUGUGCUUCCUUACCUUGUCUAAUGUGAUAGUAAACAGAAUAUCUGACAAAACAAGACACUGGAAGACGUCACUUUAUAACUGACAUUUUCUAACUAUUUUAUUGUAUUUAUAUUCCAUUUUAUUGAGAUAGUUUGCACAUUAAACAAUAACGACAGUAAUCAUUUUUUGCAAGUCACUUUGCCUAGCCUUAAAUUUGACAAUACUUGCCACAUAAUAUAGAUAGUAUUUAGUAUUUAGUAUAUAGUCAUUGUGUUUCCAAAUAUUCCAGCCUGAUGAGGUUGAUUCUAAUUUUUUACAGGUUUGUAUUUAGUACUUAGUACCCUUAACUUUGUUUUUGUUAGUUUUAGUUUUUGUUUAUGUUUUUUUUUUCUGUUGUAUGCUAUGUAUUCUAUGAGGCAUUUGUUCAAUUUACAACUUUACAACUUGGUCUGAUUCUCAAAAUAUUUGACAUGAGAAUGUGAAUGCAAACAAUGUCAAACCAAAGCCAAGCAUGACAAUGUAAGAUCCUGUUGUGACCUGCCUAACAACCUCAGAUCAGAGGAAUCACCAUCAACUUUCUUCUGACAGCAGUCUUCUUCUUGUCACUUAAUUGCUUAGAUUUGCCUCCAGCUCCCUUGUUCCUGUCUGACCUGUGACUUGUGUAUGUUGUAUAAUGUCAGUGUUUUAAAUGUAAUAUUCAAAUAAAUUUCCAUUGUUCAAUUAAAUUUUUUGCAUGCAAUAUUACAUAUAUACAUAGUAACAUCACAACAUCACAACACACCAUUCAGCUCAGUGACACUGAGUCUUCCGUGUAAAAUAAAUUGUCACUUUCAUACUUUUAAACUACUCCUAUGAAAACCUAAAAUCUGUGCUACCUACAUCCAUGUUCAUUCAUGAGCAGACCAAAGUUAUGUUUGCCCCCUUUGCUAAAUGUGUUUGUUUCUUUAUUUUUAAAUACAUUUAUAGUUCCAGAUAAUGCAGAGUAAAAUGUCUGUGAUGUGAUUUAUAUGAAAUUAGAAGAUUUGAGGAAAAUAAAUGUUUUUGGCUUUUGUUUUGUUUUCUGAGAUAUACUACUAAUAUUCUUUUGCCUCACAGUGUUCUGUUUUAAUGAUUAGAAGAGAAUGAAUAAUGAGAAUGUUUUACAAAAACAUCACUGAUGAUUACACAAUUUUCUAAUAUUUCAAAAUAACUAUAGCAGUGAUAUAGAGCAGAAUAGUAAGUGCAAUGUGCUCUUCAGAUGCAUAUGGCUGAGAUAGAGAUGUCUUGCAGUUGUGCCUAAAUAAAGUCUUACUGCUGUCAUUUCACAUGACUGUCAGUUCUUUCCACUGUCAUGCUUAUUAAUAGAAGCUCUAAAUGAACAGUGAGAUUUUGGCAUCUGACGUGUUUUACAUUUUAUCUUUGGGGGUAUUUUUAUACCUUUUUAAAAGCUUGAAUCUGUUUCAACAAGAUUAACUCCUUGGCAUGAUGUGUGUUUCUGCAGAGCUGCUGCUAAAGACAUUCAAAAAGACAACUGACAAGUUUUCAGAAGUCAGAAUGCUUGCAGAAAUUAGUCAAUUUAAAAUCGGAUGUAAGCAUUUGGUUUGUUUUUUUGUUUAAUGAUGUUACAAUACCACAAUAAUGCAUUAUUAAUUAAUGUCAUGGUAAUUACCUAUCCUACAUAAAUACUGUAAAUAUUUAAUUAGUAAUACAAAUAUCCAUUUUAUGUGAAGCAUGAAAAUUUUCAUAAAUGUUUCAUCUGUCAAAACCACCAAUCAGCUUUAAGUGUUUUUCAUGCAUUCACACUCAUUUUGACAGGAGCAAAAGAAAUGCAGACUUCCAUAGUAUCACAGUGGUGUGUUCUGUAGGGGGGUUUGUCCUGAUACAGUUGUUCUUUUAUUUCUCUCUCUUACAGCUUAUUAGAGCACUUGAGCAUUGAUGGUAAUAGUAAUGCUAACAUUUUUGUACACAGUAUGUUAAGUGAUAGUGGACAUCAUACUAACAUAAUAAAAAAUGCUAUGUGAUAUCCCAUUAUGUGGAAAUAUUUUACUAUACACUUUUCUGUGUUUUAGCACACACAGUCUUGAGUGGUGUAGUAAAAUGUUAUAUACAAACCUUACAAGAAUUGACUAAUUUUUAUUUUUAUUUUUUCUUUUAGCUGUGUCGUAUAGGGCAAUGCAGGUGCAACAGCACUGACUUUACAAACUCUUGCCUCCAAAUGAUCCCACCACAAACCUGAAGAGAAGAUAAUAUCAUGUCUGUUUGUUGCACUGAUGCUCUCCACUCUGGUGCUGAAUGAAAUCGGAUAAAUUAUUUUUGAACCAGAUGCUGGUACAACCUGCUUCAUUGCUGUCCAGUGUUCCUGCUGACAGUGCUGUCAAUCCAGCAGGAGGGAACCUCUGCAGACUUUAGUGUGGGGUGGCUGCUCUUCAGGUGAACUUAAGUGACACUAACUGUGCUACAGAGUCAAUAAUUUAUUUCUUAUACAUAUCAGUUGUAAUGUUGAGUAUUUAUUAAAACAAAAAUAUCUUCAGAUAAGAAAUGCAUCAACAAACCACAAGCAUAUGACAAAUGAAUAUAGUCUUUUUGUGGCAACCUCAACCUAUCUCCUUUACCUAAAUGAUUAGUCAUGUUUCUAAGAAUUUUUCUCAACACCCCAAGAGUUCCUGCCUGGACCUGUUACAGGCACCGUUUGGUUUUACAUUUGACAGAGUAAUAACAAUAGGAAUGUGAGCAUAUAGAGCUGAUACAGCAUAAUGGUUAGUAAUUGCAACAAAUUGAGAAUUGAGAUUUUCUACCUGUGAAAAUCAAAACAGACAUAUGUCUUCUUUCUGAUUCACUGUAUAUUGUGUCACAGUAGGCCCAAUGCCAUAUUUAAAGCCCUCUCACACUGAGAGUACAAUUUAUUUAUUUUUUCUGAAUUAGGCAUAUAGUAUUUUUAAUACAGAAGGUUUUAGGUCUUCAAAUGCUGCAGACAGGAUCCAGACAUGUCUAUGAAUUUGUGAAUAGAAAUUAAAUUGAAUUCAAGAAAUAAAAUAAAAUUGUGACUAUUUCAUAAGUAGUAACAUGACAACCCUAUAUGCAAUUAGGCCAAUAUGUGUGGAACAUAAAUUGCAAAUUAAAGGGUAAAAUGUAAAUAUUGAAUAUGUUAAGUGCUAUGUGUUGUUGUUUCAUUAAAUUAUUUUUAGUUUUUGAACUAAAAGUAACUAGUUUCAGAAAAAAAUGGAUAAUGGCCCUAUUCUUGUGCUGUUUUUUAACUCUUUAUGCAUUAAAAAACAAACAAACAUGUAACCUCCUAUUCAUAAAAUACUCAAUUAAUAAUUUAUUCAGUGUUAAGAUGAUAUGAUGGUAUGAUAUGAUUUACCAGAAUCAAUCACCAUUCGUAAAUUGCUUUGGUCUCUUUUCUGCGGUGGACAUAAAAUUGUUGUCUGUCCUUAAAAUAAUUUACAAAAAUAAAGUAGAUUAUCCUAUCACCAAUAUCAGUAAAGGACAUUCUCAGACACAAAAGCACUACAGAAAUUAAUACCUGAUAGUGCAGAUAGGUGGCACGGUGGUACAGUGGUUAGCACUGUUGCCUCACAGCAAGAAGGUUCCAGAUUCGAGCCUUUUCUGUGUGGAGUUUGCAUCUUCUCCCUGUGCCUGCGUGGAUUCUCACCAGGUACGCUGACUUCCUCCCACAGUCCAAAGAUAUGCAGGUUAACUGGUGACUCAAAAUUCCCUGUAGGUGUGAAUGUGAGUGUGAAUGGUUGUUUGUCUGUAUAUGUUGGCCCUGCGAUGGACUGGCAACCCAUACAGGGUGUACCCUGCCUCUCGCCCACUGACAGCUGGGAUUGGCUCCAGCCCCCCCGCAACCCUAGCGGUAUAGAUAAUGGAUGGAUGUAUGGUGCCAAUCAUGCCAAAUUUUGUAUUCCUAAUUUGAACUGAGUCUGUAAUAAACCAAAAUAUAUUUAUAUAUUAUUAUUAUUAUUAAAAUAUAUUUGAAUAUUU